rnacentral:rRNA from 1 species
GGCGGUUAGAUAAGUNUGAAGUUAAAGGCUGUGGCUUAACCAUAGUACGCUUUGGAAACUGUUUAACUNGAGUGCAGAAGGGGAGAGUGGAAUUCCAUGUGUAGCGGUGAAAUGCGUAGAUAUAUGGAGGAACACCGGUGGCGAAAGCGGCUCUCUGGUCUGUAACUGACGCUGAGGCUCGAAAGCGUGGGGAGCGAACAGGAUUAGAUACCCUGGUAGUNCACGCCGUAAACGAUGAGUGCUAGGUGUUAGGCCCUUUCCGGGGCUUAGUGCCGCAGCUAACGCAUUAAGCACUCCGCCUGGGGAGUACGACCGCAAGGUUGAAACUCAAAGGAAUUGACGGGGGCCCGCACAAGCGGUGGAGCAUGUGGUUUAAUUCGAAGCAACGCGAAGAACCUUACCAGGUCUUGACAUCCUGAUGCCCGCUCUAGAGAUAGAGUUUUACUUCGGUACAUCGGUGACAGGUGGUGCAUGGUUGUCGUCAGCUCGUGUCGUGAGAUGUUGGGUUAAGUCCCGCAACGAGCGCAACCCUUAUUGUUAGUUGCCAUCAUUCAGUUGGGCACUCUAGCGAGACUGCCGGUAAUAAACCGGAGGAAGGUGGGGAUGACGUCAAAUCAUCAUGCCCCUUAUGACCUGGGCUACACACGUGCUACAAUGGCUGGUACAACGAGUCGCAAGUCGGUGACGGCAAGCUAAUCUCUUAAAGCCAGUCUCAGUUCGGAUUGUAGGCUGCAACUCGCCUACAUGAAGUCGGAAUCGCUAGUAAUCGCGGAUCAGCACGCCGCGGUGAAUACGUUCCCGGGCCUUGUACACACCGCCCGUCACACCACGAGAGUUUGUAACACCCGAAGUCGGUGAGGUAACCUUUUAGGAGC